CGGUAACAGCGAUCACGUGACAUGACGUGUGUAUCUUCAAGAAAUCAUCGGUUUAGUCAGUUGCCGCUCACCUCAAAGGAAACUGCGCUCUACCUCUCAGACAUUACCACCUGGAAAGAUGAGGCUGUUGCUGGUGAUGCUGCUGCUUGUUGACUCUGUAGUCGCUGUACACGCUGCACACGCUCAUGCCAUAAAACUCACGUCAACUGCUUGCAAAAAAGUUGACGAGCAAUGCUACGAAACUUCUUCUUGCUGCCAAGGUUUGUGGUGUGGUAUGCUACCAAUUAGGGGGGCGUUGUCCCGUCAGUGUAUGAGAAUGAAACUAUCUGCUUGAGCAAGCGGUGAUGCACUUUAACCUCUUGUGGAGAAAUGUUAUGUGAAAAGACGAACACCAUUAAAGUAAGGAGAUUGGCAAUUGAAA